CCCCCGCACCCCGCAGCUCCCCGCACCCCGCAGCACCCCGCACCCCCCCGCAGCCGCGAGCCGCGGGGCUGCGGUGCCACCUAGCGGGGUGCUGGCUGCCGCCGGCCGGCCUCGCACCGCCUCGCCUCGGCUUUGCGGGCCCCCCCCGCACCCCGCGUGGGUGAUUUCGGUUACAGCAGGGGCCGCAGCGGCGCCGUGCGGCCGGCCCGUGGGUGCAGCGGGCGCGGCGCGUGCUCGGGGCGCUGCGUGGUCAGCGCCGGGUGCCUGGGGCGGGUAGCGGGGCCAGGUAAAAGGAGGGCACCCCGGUGGCUGUGCCCCGGCUCAGCGCCUCCAGCCCGUCCCAGUCCGUUCCGCCAGGCCUUUCAAGCAAACAGGGCGAGCUACAAAAGAGGAGCACCCUUUCUGAGGUCAGGGUGGUGAGAAGCGAACCUGCCGCGUUAAAACUCAGAGCCCGGGAUGCCAGCGCCAGGAGUUUUGCCAGUUUCUGUCACCUGCCUUAAAAAUGAGUACCUGGAAAACCUCGCCAUCCCCCAAAACGACAGCAGAAAAGCAGGCAACUCCCAAAGCACCUUGGGUCCGAGAUUAAAUACCACCACCACUCAACACCGAGCGUUUUCCCCAGGUGUUGCGGUGAGGGUUGGCAGGUCCACCAGGCAUCGCCGCAGGUGCCACAUCUCCCACGGCACAUCUCGUCAGCUGAAAAUCCUCCCGCUGGGGUCAGGCGGGGCACUUCGCCCACCUCCAGGGCCAAGUCCUCCUCGGAGGAGGAUUGACUCCUCCGCACCGCUUCUCAACACAUCCCCUUGUUUCUGCAGCCAAAAUAGCGCAGAUCGGCUGAGCCUUGCUGUGCUGGACGGUGGACAAAACCCAUUUAUUUCCCUGGCCAGGAAGCCCAUCUAUCAAAGAGAACAUGAGGCGUGCUGCCAGCCAGGAGCCCGCGAGCUGGACGUCUGCUCAGCCGCUGAUGCCAGCUUGCCCCCCUUUCUGAUUUCCACCCAAAAAUUUAGCAAAACAAUGGACAACUUCUCCUUGGUGGUGUUAUUUGGAGUACACCAACCAUAUUGCCGCAGCCAGUGCUGA
rnacentral:lncRNA from 1 species